GGGUUGUGAGGUUAAGCGACUAAGCGUACACGGUGGAUGCCCUGGCAGUCAGAGGCGAUGAAGGACGUGCUAAUCUGCGAUAAGCGUCGGUAAGGUGAUAUGAACCGUUAUAACCGGCGAUUUCCGAAUGGGGAAACCCAGUGUGAUUCGUCACACUAUCAUUAACUGAAUCCAUAGGUUAAUGAGGCGAACCGGGGGAACUGAAACAUCUAAGUACCCCGAGGAAAAGAAAUCAACCGAGAUUCCCCCAGUAGCGGCGAGCGAACGGGGAGCAGCCCAGAGCCUGAAUCAGUGUGUGUGUUAGUGGAAGCGUCUGGAAAGGCGCGCGAUACAGGGUGACAGCCCCGUACACAAAAAUGCACAUGCUGUGAGCUCGAUGAGUAGGGCGGGACACGUGGUAUCCUGUCUGAAUAUGGGGGGACCAUCCUCCAAGGCUAAAUACUCCUGACUGACCGAUAGUGAACCAGUACCGUGAGGGAAAGGCGAAAAGAACCCCGGCGAGGGGAGUGAAAAAGAACCUGAAACCGUGUACGUACAAGCAGUGGGAGCCUCUUUAUGGGGUGACUGCGUACCUUUUGUAUAAUGGGUCAGCGACUUAUAUUCUGUAGCAAGGUUAACCGAAUAGGGGAGCCGAAGGGAAACCGAGUCUUAACUGGGCGUUAAGUUGCAGGGUAUAGACCCGAAACCCGGUGAUCUAGCCAUGGGCAGGUUGAAGGUUGGGUAACACUAACUGGAGGACCGAACCGACUAAUGUUGAAAAAUUAGCGGAUGACUUGUGGCUGGGGGUGAAAGGCCAAUCAAACCGGGAGAUAGCUGGUUCUCCCCGAAAGCUAUUUAGGUAGCGCCUCGUGAAUUCAUCUCCGGGGGUAGAGCACUGUUUCGGCAAGGGGGUCAUCCCGACUUACCAACCCGAUGCAAACUGCGAAUACCGGAGAAUGUUAUCACGGGAGACACACGGCGGGUGCUAACGUCCGUCGUGAAGAGGGAAACAACCCAGACCGCCAGCUAAGGUCCCAAAGUCAUGGUUAAGUGGGAAACGAUGUGGGAAGGCCCAGACAGCCAGGAUGUUGGCUUAGAAGCAGCCAUCAUUUAAAGAAAGCGUAAUAGCUCACUGGUCGAGUCGGCCUGCGCGGAAGAUGUAACGGGGCUAAACCAUGCACCGAAGCUGCGGCAGCGACGCUUAUGCGUUGUUGGGUAGGGGAGCGUUCUGUAAGCCUGUGAAGGUGUGCUGUGAGGCAUGCUGGAGGUAUCAGAAGUGCGAAUGCUGACAUAAGUAACGAUAAAGCGGGUGAAAAGCCCGCUCGCCGGAAGACCAAGGGUUCCUGUCCAACGUUAAUCGGGGCAGGGUGAGUCGACCCCUAAGGCGAGGCCGAAAGGCGUAGUCGAUGGGAAACAGGUUAAUAUUCCUGUACUUGGUGUUACUGCGAAGGGGGGACGGAGAAGGCUAUGUUGGCCGGGCGACGGUUGUCCCGGUUUAAGCGUGUAGGCUGGUUUUCCAGGCAAAUCCGGAAAAUCAAGGCUGAGGCGUGAUGACGAGGCACUACGGUGCUGAAGCAACAAAUGCCCUGCUUCCAGGAAAAGCCUCUAAGCAUCAGGUAACAUCAAAUCGUACCCCAAACCGACACAGGUGGUCAGGUAGAGAAUACCAAGGCGCUUGAGAGAACUCGGGUGAAGGAACUAGGCAAAAUGGUGCCGUAACUUCGGGAGAAGGCACGCUGAUAUGUAGGUGAGGUCCCUCGCGGAUGGAGCUGAAAUCAGUCGAAGAUACCAGCUGGCUGCAACUGUUUAUUAAAAACACAGCACUGUGCAAACACGAAAGUGGACGUAUACGGUGUGACGCCUGCCCGGUGCCGGAAGGUUAAUUGAUGGGGUUAGCGGUAACGCGAAGCUCUUGAUCGAAGCCCCGGUAAACGGCGGCCGUAACUAUAACGGUCCUAAGGUAGCGAAAUUCCUUGUCGGGUAAGUUCCGACCUGCACGAAUGGCGUAAUGAUGGCCAGGCUGUCUCCACCCGAGACUCAGUGAAAUUGAACUCGCUGUGAAGAUGCAGUGUACCCGCGGCAAGACGGAAAGACCCCGUGAACCUUUACUAUAGCUUGACACUGAACAUUGAGCCUUGAUGUGUAGGAUAGGUGGGAGGCUUUGAAGUGUGGACGCCAGUCUGCAUGGAGCCGACCUUGAAAUACCACCCUUUAAUGUUUGAUGUUCUAACGUUGACCCGUAAUCCGGGUUGCGGACAGUGUCUGGUGGGUAGUUUGACUGGGGCGGUCUCCUCCUAAAGAGUAACGGAGGAGCACGAAGGUUGGCUAAUCCUGGUCGGACAUCAGGAGGUUAGUGCAAUGGCAUAAGCCAGCUUGACUGCGAGCGUGACGGCGCGAGCAGGUGCGAAAGCAGGUCAUAGUGAUCCGGUGGUUCUGAAUGGAAGGGCCAUCGCUCAACGGAUAAAAGGUACUCCGGGGAUAACAGGCUGAUACCGCCCAAGAGUUCAUAUCGACGGCGGUGUUUGGCACCUCGAUGUCGGCUCAUCACAUCCUGGGGCUGAAGUAGGUCCCAAGGGUAUGGCUGUUCGCCAUUUAAAGUGGUACGCGAGCUGGGUUUAGAACGUCGUGAGACAGUUCGGUCCCUAUCUGCCGUGGGCGCUGGAGAACUGAGGGGGGCUGCUCCUAGUACGAGAGGACCGGAGUGGACGCAUCACUGGUGUUCGGGUUGUCAUGCCAAUGGCACUGCCCGGUAGCUAAAUGCGGAAGAGAUAAGUGCUGAAAGCAUCUAAGCACGAAACUUGCC
rnacentral:rRNA from 1 species